rnacentral:rRNA from 1 species
AGAGUUUGAUCCUGGCUCAGAACGAACGCUGGCGGCAGGCUUAACACAUGCAAGUCGAGCGGGCCCGCAAGGGUCAGCGGCGGACGGGUUAGUAGCGCGUGGGAACGUGCCUUCUGCUCUGGAAUAGCCCUGGGAAACUGGGGGUAAUACCGGAUGUGCCCUGAGGGGGAAAGGUUUACUGGCAGGAGAUCGGCCCGCGUCGGAUUAGCUAGUUGGUGGGGUGACGGCCCACCAAGGCGACGAUCCGUAGCUGGUCUGAGAGGAUGAUCAGCCACACUGGGACUGAGACACGGCCCAGACUCCUACGGGAGGCAGCAGUGGGGAAUAUUGGACAAUGGGCGCAAGCCUGAUCCAGCCAUGCCGCGUGAGUGAAGAAGGCCUUAGGGUUGUAAAGCUCUUUUCAGCGGGGACGAUAAUGACGGUACCCGCAGAAGAAGCCCCGGCUAACUUCGUGCCAGCAGCCGCGGUAAUACGAAGGGGGCUAGCGUUGUUCGGAAUUACUGGGCGUAAAGCGCGCGUAGGCGGACAUUUAAGUCAGGGGUGAAAUCCCGGGGCUCAACCUCGGAACUGCCUUUGAUACUGGGUGUCUGGAGUCCGGAAGAGGUUGGUGGAAUUCCGAGUGUAGAGGUGAAAUUCGUAGAUAUUCGGAGGAACACCAGAGGCGAAGGCGGCCAACUGGUCCGGUACUGACGCUGAGGCGCGAAAGCGUGGGGAGCAAACAGGAUUAGAUACCCUAGUAGUCC